rnacentral:rRNA from 1 species
UACGUAGGGUGCAAGCGUUAAUCGGAAUUACUGGGCGUAAAGCGCACGUAGGCGGUCUUUUAAGUCAGGGGUGAAAUCCUGGAGCUCAACUCCAGAACUGCCUUUGAUACUGAGAGACUUGAGUCCGGGAGAGGUGAGUGGAACUGCGAGUGUAGAGGUGAAAUUCGUAGAUAUUCGCAAGAACACCAGUGGCGAAGGCGGCUCACUGGCCCGGUACUGACGCUGAGGUGCGAAAGCGUGGGGAGCAAACAGG